rnacentral:rRNA from 1 species
GCGGCUACUGCUAUCAGGUUUCGACUAAGCCAUGCGAGUCAAGGGGUCGUAAGACACCGGCGUACUGCUCAGUAACACGCGGACAAUCUACCCCCAGGUGGAGGAUAACCUCGGGAAACUGAGGCUAAUACCCCAUAGUUGUCAUGUGCUGGAAUGCUUUGACGAUGAAAGAAUUUCGCCUGAGGAUGAGUCUGCGGCCUAUCAGGUAGUAUGUGGUGUAAAGGACCACAUAGCCUAAGACGGGUACGGGCCUUGAAAGAGGGAGCCCGGAGAUGGACUCUGAGACACUAGUCCAGGCCCUACGGGGCGCAGCAGGCGCGAAAACUGUGCAAUGCGCGCAAGCGCGACACGGGAAGCCUGAGUGCCUUAACUAUGUUAAGGCUUUUCUUGAUCCUAAAAAGCUCAAGGAAUAAGAGCUGGGUAAGACGGGUGCCAGCCGCCGCGGUAACACCCGCGGCUCGAGUGGUAGUCACUUUUAUUGAGCCUAAAGCGUUUGUAGCCGGAUUUGUAAAUCUCUAGGAAAAUACUUCUGCUUAACUGAAGAAAUUCUGGAGAGACUGCAAAUCUAGGGACCGGGUGAGGUCGAAUGUACUUCUGGGGUAGGGGUAAAAUCCUGUAAUCCUGGAAGGACGACCGGUGGCGAAGGCGUUCAACUAGAACGGAUCCGACGGUGAGGAACGAAGGCUAGGGGAGCAAACCGGAUUAGAUACCCGGGUAGUCCUAGCUGUAAACACUGCCCACUUGGUGUUGCAUCUCCGGUAAGGGGGCGCAGUGCCGUAGCGAAGGUGUUAAGUGGGCCGCUUGGGGAGUAUGGUCGCAAGGCUGAAACUUAA